GCGGGAAUAGCUCAGUUGGCAGAGCAUCAGCUUCCCAAGCUGAGGGUCGCGGGUUCGAGCCCCGUUUCCCGCU
rnacentral:tRNA from 1 species